UACACGGUAGUGAAUACAUUUAAUAUUCUCUGAGCAGAGACAAUGAUGUCCUGGGUUUGCAGCAGGCUGGUUUCUUUUUCUUCUGUGUUUUUGAUGUUUCAGCCUCGUGGUAGGUAAGUCCCCGAGAUCACAAGGUUCUUCUCAGGAAGCUGGAGGUCUGCGGGUCCUGUAGCUCCCACUGGCUGCAGAUGGAGGACACUGUCUCUUUACUGAAUGGAUAAUGAACGGUGGCUGUAAGGUAGGUGUUUAUCUGUACAUCUUGCAUUGUCCUGAAUGCUAAGAGGUUAGUCGUAGUCUUUUACAUUUGUGUUAGAAUCACAGAAUGCCCUGAGUUAAAAAGGAACUCAAAGAUCAUUUGGUUUCAACCCCUGUAACACAGGCAGGGUCACCAACCUCUAGACCAGGUUGCCCAACUCCACAUCCUGCCUGGCCUUGAAUGUCCUGCAAUGGUACAUUUCUGAAUCCUCUGGAUAAAAGUAUUGUUGCUGCUUAUUGGGCACUUAUUGCCUGAAAGAACAGUGACAGCGAUGUGGUUUCAGAAGACUAAAGAACAGUGAAAAUGUCUGAAAAAUGGGGAUUUAUGUGAAACCCUGCCAGUGUUAUGGGAACAAACAGAAUAACCUCUAAGACAGCGUUGCCUUUCAUUGCAGUGGUUCUGUAAUUAGACCUCUUCUCUUUAGCUUUAUUUCAUUAAUGGGAAAAUAGUAGUUUUUUAAUAGAGAACAAGGGAUAAGGGAAUUUGUCAUAUUAGUAGCUGAUAAAGGAUUUGAGAGGGAGUCUAAAACUGGAACUGUAAAAGUAUGGUAUUUGCUUUUACCUGCAGGCAUCUAUGAAACAAGAGAUGGGCAGAAUUGUCUUGUUUUGGUUUAAUAUUAGAGACACAAACACGCAUAAGUGAAUGAAAUUGGACAUAUUUAGUAAUGGCUCAAUAAAUAUUAGCAAAUGGGUGGCACAAUUUAAUCAGAGUGGUUGCAGUUGAUAAGGUGCUGAAAAGCUCUGAUUGAGACUGCUGGGAGGCUAAAUGAAAAGCUGAAGAUUUGGAGAUAAGGAUUGAUGGACAUAAUGUUAUUAUAAUUGGGAAUAGUAGAGAACGUAAAGCACUGAGAAAUUAAAUUGAUGACCUGUAAAACAAGCUUAGAUGAAGAAAAAAUCAGGUUGAUAAAAGCUCCUGCAGGCAAAGCACAGGGCAAGAGAAGAGAGUGUGUUGGAUAAGCUUAAAUUUUGCCCAACUGCUUUCUUAAGUAGUUGGGAUAAUAUGGAUUUGGGAAGUGUUGUAAUAGUGUAGGUGUCAAUCAAAAUCUCUGUUCUAUGGAGAUUUGACAUUCCCUUGAGAGUACUGCAAACUGUAUUUAAGCUGCUACACAUGAAAUGCUGCAUUCUUUUUUUCUUCUCUGUUGCUUCACUCUGAUCUUCAGGGCUUCUUAUUUCUUUCAUGGUUGCCCCUUUAGUAAACCAAAAAUCAGCAUUUCUUAUCCAACGUGGCAUUAACACUCAUCUUCAGGUUUUUCAGGGAGUCAUUUCUUCAGCUCAAAUCAUGAGCACAAUCCUGGUGCAGCAAAGUGUUCUGUUGUGGGAUCAAAGGAUAUCCACUGUAUCAGGGCAUCGAGUAUUCCUUCAGGAAAGCAUAGUAGACUCCAAUUAACUUGAUUUAUCUUUGGGGGCAAAAAAAUGUGUUCAUCUUUUUGGCUUUCAGAAUGGAAAAAGUCAUUUGCAACUCUACCAGAAAAACAAUUGGAUAUAAAUUACCUGGGGUCAUCCAAGGCAAAAUUUCACUUUGCUCUGUCUGCCAGUGACACUGAUGGGGAGGUGAAAUGAGUUCCCACUAUUGAAUUCUACUCAGAAAAAGGCACCGUUCAUUUUAAAGUAAAAACAUUAUUUCUUUUCUUUUAGCUUAGCCUAGUAUUAAAUAAUAUCUUAAUCUACUUUAAAAUAUUGUACUGUUGUACAUAGAAUAUUUUUCUGUGUAGUGCACUCGUUCUAACUCAUAAGGCAACUCAUUAAAUAGAGGGAAUAAUAUUUUUAUGUCGAGACAAUCUUAAUAGCAGGCCAUAUAGAUUGCAUGGAAAUAGAGAAACGGUGAAUAACUGUUACAGAGUCAUCGUGUCAUUAUCAAAUUGCAUUAAAUUUGCACAGUGGGAAGGCAGCUUAGAAGGUCAUAGAAGGACACACAGCUUUGGGAACAGUCUGAAUGUUGAGUUGACUCAUCUAAAGCACCGUUAUGUAUUUGAUGGUUUCCUUCAUGCUGUAGCAGAAAAUAAUGUUUAAUACUGUGUUGCCAUGAUGCGUUCUUUAUUUGUUCUCAGCUCUGCCUGUGUUUGCAGGACAGUCAGUGCAGCCAGUGGCUUUCUGAAUGAGGUGUUUGCAUUGGUUUAAUAUGAUGUGCUAAGGGCAACAUCAACCCUUUUUCAGUGCUGUUAAACAGAAGGAAAAUACUCUUGCUGUAUCUGCAUAUGCAAACAGUUGCAACAUGCCAGUGUAAAGCAUGUGAACGCAAAGGCAAUCUGUUGCUUUUUCUUUCUUUGGUAGAUGAAUUUGAAGCGGGGAGAACUUACAUGAAAGAAGAUGUCCUUUUUCUCUUAGCGUGUUGCAUUCUUGUGAAAACUCUUGCAUUUUCUUAACUAUAUGGGUGAUUAUGUAGGCAGAGCACCAGCGUAAUUAAGAAUGUGCUUCUGGAGAGAGAAUACUUAAUAAUAAGCAGACGGCUCAGCUACUGCAUUCUCAGAUUGUGUUUGCUUGAAGUAACUUCAACUGGAAGAUCCCACAAGAAACACACAUGUACCUUAGUUAAAACACACAGCAUUGGUGAAAACCAGGGCAAAGAUGGUGAGAAGCCAACUAAGGUUGGCUGAAGGUUUUGUUGUAAAUGAAUGGCUUGUAGAAGCAGCGUGCUGGUAUUCCCACAGAGCCACAUGUUCUGUCACAGCACAUUGAACAUUAAAGUUAUUUGCAGUUCUUACCACUGCGCCUUUUGAAACUAAAGGAUGCAUUGUGUUUUCAGACAAACUCUACUUAUUUUUACUUCUAGAGGGGAAGGAAAAAGAGAAGAUGCUGGAAAUGGAACAAAUCUUUAUUGUGAGAAUGCCAUUGGAAUUCUACUUCUGAUCUGGCUUAAUUCAAAGAGCUCAAAACUUGAUGUCAACGUGUUUUCUUUAACACUUCUCUCUGAAGGGAUUCUGUUGAAGGGGCAGCUGCCUGUGAUGCUUGGGAUGGCUUACAUCUCUGCAUAGGGAAUGGUACAUUUAUCUGGAAGACUGGGCUGUGUUAGUGUUCCUGAGUUUGUAAAACUGCAUUUCAGAAAAUGAAUUUCUUUCCUGCCGCAAGGUGAGUUGUUAAAUUAAACAGUGCCAUUAUUUGAUUGGAUGCUAUUCAAAAGUAAUUAAUGCUGUGUGCUGAAAUGAUCAGAAGUCAUCGAAAUUGAAACUAAGCAAAAAGCCACAUUUCUGUUUGGAAAAGCUCUUUGAAUAUACUGUGGAAUUGGGAAAAAAAAAAUCUUGCUGCAGUGAUAAUUGAUAGCAUUAAAAAAUAUCUAUGAAUACUGAAACUGAGAGAUGUGAUGGGGAGGGAGAGGGUAAACAUACUAUUUUCUUGUUGUUUGCUGAGUCUUUAUUCAUUUUUCUGUUGUGGUGUUUUGUACUUACUGUUCUAUUCAUUAGCAUAAUGGCAGCAUUGUUGUGUGCUGCUUUAGGGACAGCACGUUGUGUUCUCUGGAACAGGGACUGUCUGGAUCAGGAACGCUGUGUCUCCUGCUGGGCAUGGAGGAGGCUGAAAUAUGCCUAUGGAUGAGGAGACAUCGGCAUGCUCUGUUCAUUGCCCAAGAAGAGAAAUGGAUCACCUCAAAAACCUGAGGGCUUGGAGGAUGCUGUUGUUUUUGAAGAUCACUGAAUCCCACAGGAGUCACAGAAUUGUAGGGGUUGGGAGGAACUUCUGGAGAUCAUCCAGUCCAGCUACAAGUAUUUGUAGGAAAUUUGGGGAAUAGAAAGAAGAAAAUGGUCAGUCAGGCCUCUAUAUGUAUCAUAAAUGCUCUCAGUCCUGCAGAAGUCAAUGCAACUGUGCCAAUAUACUCCGGGUGGAAAUCAGACUAAUCCCUGGCUUUCCUAUGAGCAAACAGAUGUUUUGUGUGUACCACUCGGCAACAGCUACAGCUCCUCAGAGCAUGGAGGAUCUGCUCUAAGAUAUUUCAGACCUGUCAGUGCUGUGCUACAAGUCAAGCCGUGCGGAGGAGAAGAACCAACCUUGCAGGAGCAACGUGAGGCGGCGCUUUUGUGAGUCCAAGCCCUGGAGUGCACAUGCUGUUAUAACGAGCUUUGUUCAGGGGAUCUGCUGGUAGAGGCUUCCGAGGAGGGCUUGGCUUGUGGUUUUCCUAUAAUAAAACAGAAACUUAUAUUAAAGCUGGUGUUACAGAUAUAUCAUAUCCUUGCUCUAGCUCAGUGGUUAAGUUCAGCAUAGUUGUAGACACAUUUAGGUGAGCGUAUUGUAACGUAUUUCUAAUAAGGAGGCAUAGAAAUCUUUCUAUUUUAGGGAUUUGGGGUUUUUAUUAUUUAUAUUAGAGAUGCUGUGUGCAUCAAGAUUGGAAUUUCAGAUUAUUUGGUGGCAAAGGAAGAACAACGUAGACUGAAUACAUACAAGAAGAUAUAGGGAAGAGCAGCGGGACUAGCAGUGACAUUAAAAUACAGAUUUAGAUGAGCAUGGAUGCAAACUGCUCAAUUCCAGUUUGAACUGGGGACAUCUGUGAUUCUUUCGUUGUUGUUGUUUAGAGAUGCUGCUGUGCUUUCUUUCCAUUCAGUGGAAUUACAUGAUUCAUUAAUAGGGAACAGAAGUCAUGUGCUGACAGACAUGAGCUCAUGUCUCUUCUGUGUGGUCCCUGAAGCCAUGCAAACAGGGCAGGGUGUCUACUUGUGGUCUUCAUUAAGAAGAACUGGGAUAGAUUAACUGACUUGUUCAGGUCACACAAAGACUCUCCAACGUACCCCAAAUCUCCAGAUCCAGCUGCUAUGGAUCUCACCACGCUUUCUCUAAGAACAAUGCACAGGGUAAUGGUACUAUUCACUGUUAGUUUGCUGUAACUGGUCGACCAGGAAGAAACAAAAGCUUACAGGCAUAAUUUAAAGAUCCCUUGAAAAAUGUAAUCAAAACAGAUCCUUAGAGGCAUGAAUUACUCAUGAAUAAAACACCACUUUUCACCAUUUGUUUUGAACAUCCCUUUGUUUUCUUACUUUGUGUUUUACUCCUUCAGAAAGGGAACACAGGGUGACUAUCAGUAGGCAUUCUAAGAAUAAAUUAAACCAAAAGAAAGCGGGGAAUGAAACUUUCUGAGCAGCACAGAACAACCAAGGACUAACAAGACUCUAUGAUCUUAAGGUUGGAGAAGAUCAUGAAGAUCAUCUAUUCCAACCACUGACCCAUCACUGCCAUACCCACUAAACCAGACCCCUCAGUGCCAUGUUGGGUGUUUUUUUCAACCAUUUCUUUGGAAGAAAGCUGGCUGGAAUGGCUAACCCAUGUCUGCUGAGUUUGGACAUCUCAUUGUCUGGACUUGGCCAUGGAGUGAGCAUCUUCCAUGGCUGAACACAAAGGUAACCCUGAGUGCCUUACCCAAGUGUAUUCUUUGGGUUCUCUUAGCUGAACACCUGAUUUCAUUCCUGACCGACCAAAUGGGGCUAGGAGAUUAAUACUGACUGUGAACCUGGCCCCUCAAUUAAGUAUGCUUGUGUUGUGAAAGCACCUGAAAGAAGCAGCUGUUUAUUAGUUUAGUUAAAUAUUAAAUAUUGUUAAAUAUUAAACUUGGCAACUGUUCAUUUCCUGCUUCGUUUGUUUAUUAUUAAAACUAUUUUAAUUAAAUCUUAAAGGGAUUUUUACUUAGAAGUAAACAAUUCAUUGCUUUCUCGAUGGCCACUAGAAGGGAAGAGACUCGUCUUACAGCUCACCUUGUACAUUGUACCUUAUCUACCCACUGCUCUCAGCCAGAGGCAGCAGGAAAGGAGCUUGUGUGCAAACACAGCUCUCAGAGGAGAGAAGCUGAAGAAGGCUGAUAUAAGCAACAGAAACACUGAAUGGUUUGGGGUACUCUUCUUCAGCGGUGCAUUGCAACACCAGGCACCUGGAUGAUCGAUAUAAAUGGUGUAGCAAUGAUUUUUAAAGUAUUUCCUCUUGCCCUGCUGGAUAUGGUUCCAAGCAAUCGGUUCAGAUGCAAUACAAUACUUCUGAUAGCAUCUACAUAAAUUAGACCCAAACUAUUCUAAAGCUAAUUUACAUCCUCUAAACUUUGAGGGGGUAAAUAACUAACUUGGGAAGAAAAUGUUUUCUUCCCAUGCAGUCAUUUCUGUAUCCCCAGAGUAUAAAAAGCAGUUAUUUCUGACAAUCUUGAAUUAUAAUUUUUGAAAGAAUGUACUCCUGCUCGUUCUCUAAAGUUGCCUUGAGUUGAUUCCAUGUUUGUCAUGCUUCUGUUUCAUACAGCAACUGAAAAUUGAAAACAUUGUUAUUUUGCUUGAUGGAGUUGCAAUUAAUUUCAGCUGCUAAGCUGAAAAGCUGCUUUUGCAGCUUCGGCUCUGUCAGACUUUGGUAUUCUGCUUUGUGGGAUGUGUAGGAGUGGGCAUGUACAUAGGGAGAGGAAUUUAGUGACUGCAUUUGCUGUGGCUGGCUGGGGCAGAUGUCCUGUCACAAUGAGAACCAGUUCCUGUUCCCUGGAAAGCCCUUUCUCUAUCUGUCCUCUGCUAGCGAGGGCUGGCUUCUACAGUGCUAGAUGAGGUGUUCUUAUUAGCAAACCAUUUGAUUAAGGAAUUGAAAAGCAUUUGUACUUAGAAUACCAAUUUUAACCAAUGUGAAAUAUGCAGUAUUCUAAGAAAUGCAAGGAAGCAAAAAGCAAAACUGUCAGAGCUAAAGACACAAACAACACCAACCAGUACCAGUCCAGAUCUCCCAUAAACCCCAUUUUUGAAAUAAUCAAUAUUAUAAAAUAAAUGAAUGACUAGCAGGGUGGAAAAAGGAAGAAGAAAAGCUUGAAUACUUUGAAAAAAUUAAUAAACUGUCUCUACUUUUAAAAGUUGAUUGAACACAAGUGAUUCAAUGUUCAGACAUGCAAAUUAAAUUAAAACCUUCUACACUCUUUCUAGCUCUAUAAUGCCUGAUUCCUUUCCUAAGAAACAGACAUGCUACAAAUGUGACCAAAAGAGAGAAGUUAAAGACAAGGAAAGGGCAAUGUGAUAUAGACAGCUGCACAGACAACUCCAUCUACCCUGAACACUGCCUUGAGAUGCAUCUUAUUACAAACCAACUCUCCUGAAACUUUGGAAAGAAAGGUAGGUCUACAUAGAAUAAGUGUGGACAAUCAGAAGUCUUUCUUUUGAGAUCUGUGCUCUGUAAUAACCCAACAAAUCCCAUGCCCUUUAGAAGAACUGAACUGCAAGCUAAUAUAUAUGUUUUGUUCCUGUGCAAGGAAUUUGUCAUUUGACUUCUGCAACUAUAUUAUUACUUCUGUCACCUUCCUAACAGUCCGUAUAGCUUCCCCUCCUGGUUAGGCAGGACAAGUCUGGCUGUGACACAGAACUUGUCUGUAUUGCUGUGUCUUCUCAGUGGUGGAACGUUGGGAUUGGUGCCUCCAUUGGCAGAAACCAAUAUUGCCCUCCUAAGUACAAUGGGAUCUAAAGGCAUUAUUAUUAUCUACACCCUAUUCCUACACUGCAAAAAGUACAAAGAAAAGACUAUGGUUAAAGGCAAAUGGGAAAGAUGAGAGAACUACUUCAUUCCUAUUCAUUAUAUGUGAAUAUUCACACACUCAAAGGAAAUCUGUGGUUACCUGGGACAGCCUGAGCGUGGGGUUGGCAGGAAGGGGCCUUUCAGGCCCAGCUUGGUGGCAGGGUGGCUGGGGAAGGGGCGGCAGGACACGCUGUGGGGUCUUUGGCUGUGGCACAUGGUGUGUCUUCACUGGGUCACUGAUGUCAACAAUCUGAUAGGGCAGUGGACGCCUUGGGCCGUCUCUCUGCAGAAACAACCAACAGUUGUAAACACUGGGAGCUGAUACAAGAAUUACAGCUCUAAAAAUCUGUGCUAUUUAUGACAUAUGUUACUUAGAAGUUAUGAAUCUCAUUUAAGUGCUUACUUAAAGAUGACUUACUUUUUGCAUGUUUGUAUUUUGUGGCUUCAUGACGAGGUUUUUACUGAGAGAUGCGGUACGAACGUGAUUGGGCUUAGAUGAUCUAGAAGAUCUCGCUGGGCUCACAGACCUGCAAUACGAGCGUAUAUGUAUUGAACACAACAGUCUGCUUCGUGGUGUUCUAUUAAACAGCAAUCUCUUUUCAGAAUGAGAUUUCACAAGGACUGGCUGACUUUUUACAGUAAACAAGGAAAGUAAAGAUACUCUAGCGCUCCUGCAAGAAUAAAAAUAAAUAUUGAUUUUUUGGAAACCAGUAGUCUGUUAAAUUAGCUUCUGCAAUCUGUGGCAAUGCAGCUUUGUAAUGCCCAAGAGACUCUUCUAAUGAAUCUAGCAUUUAAACAGUAAUGACCUCAAAUAUGAAAGUAUUGGCUCACUUGACUGAGCGUAGAUAAAAGGCCAUGCGAUGUAAUGAAAGUGUUUGAUGCAAAUGGAAAUAAAUCUAGGUAAGACUUCCUUCAGUUCCAAAUAUUUUUGUCACAAAAAAGAGGUGCGCAGUCAAACCAAACCCCAGAUUAUUAACAACAAUCGGUGACGUUUAACUGAAUCAGAAAAGCACUGCUGAUGACACUGGGUGAAUGUUUUUAAGGCUGGAUCUGCGUAAAGCACAGACAGACCAUUCUCAGAUGAACACUGAGAUGAGAUUUGCUGUGCUCACAGUUAUUUGCUACUCCUAUUUUUAAAGAUAAUAAUAACAGGGAGCAUAAUUACAGAAACCAAUCAUACCUUAAUUUCUCUAUUGUCGUCUUCUUACUUGUAAACAGCAGUCUCAUGAGAGUCUUCCUUUUCAGAUACAUGACUGACCCAGCAAAGGUAAGGCACAGAAUGGUGAUCAACACUCCUACAGUUAAACUCUUAUUAUCUGCAACAAAACACAGCCAGUUAACUUCUACCAAGAGCCAUCUGUAUUGAAAUGUACCCUGUACUGCUGCGGCCCAGCCCUGGUGACUGCUGUUCCAGCUUGCUUUAAGCUGUGAAGUGCAUUGCUGGGACCUAAGUGAGGCUUAGAAGAGAUGCAGACCCUGGCUGGAUGACUUCCAGCUGGAAGCAAGCCUUGUUUUUAGGAAGAGGUAAACAGCAGCUCUGAUACUGAUGGAUGUGUGAUAUGAUCGUCGUCUGGAGGAGGGGAUGUUAUGGUUCUGCAGGACUGCUGACCUAAAAGUGCACCCUCCCACAGCAAGAGAUGCAUCUUUAAACUUUGCUCUGGUAACCAGUCAUCACUGUCUCAGCCUUAUCCUGGUGGAAUUUCGGCCAGCUGGCGCUCACCCUGCACCAGGGCAAGGAAACGCGGUCAGCAACAAUGUGGGACCUGAUGGGUGUGAAGUGCUGCAGAGCAACGCAUCCCCCACUAUUUCUAGAAGAUGGAUAAAAUUAUUACAUUUAGAUUAUGCAAUUUAAAUUAAUUAGCUUCUCUACUUAGCAAUUCAAUAUUUAAGGCUUCUCAAUAAGAAAAAUACUCAGUCAAACACCUGGGUUUACUCCGAGUCAGCUGGGAGAAAUCAGUUACUACUAAAUGCUAAUGAGACCACGUGCUGCAUUUGACGAAGAUAAAUGCAUUUUAUUGAGCUAAUUCUUUAGUAAUUUGAUUUGGAGAUGUGCAAACUACUCAGAUCAUCCCAACCACCCUGUCAGGAGCUCAUAUUGAAAUCCAAAUGUCAAGGGGUAGAGAAUUAGGUCCUCUAGCAAUUUCCGUAUUAGUUUAUUCCUGUAUUAUUAAAUGCAGUGCUGUCUUUAGAGAAAAAUGGUUAAAAUACCACGCUGUGAAAACAGCUUUCUGUUAAAUUGAAGCAUUGCCUUCUAAAACACAAACUAAAAGAUAACCUGUAUUUGUCUUCAGUUAGCAUUGCCUAUGCAGCACGUUAUUAUAAUGUAUUUGUAGCUCCCUAGAUGCUUUGAUACAAGAUAAGCUGAAAAGGGAAUAUAAUGCUUUAGAGCAAAUCUGAGCAGAAGAACAUCUAACACAUGGGUAGUCACACUUGUUCAGUGCCUGAGCACCGCUCCUUUGCUAUCUUACCAGCUGGUAGGUAUUAAAAGAAAUACCUUUCAGCAGAGGAAUCACAAUGUGCUGCUUUGUCAUGGAAAUGACAGUGAUGUCAUAAAUCCAACAUUGCAAUUCAGUGCAGGAUCUGGCGUGGAGAGAAUACAAUCCAUUUUGGUUUUGGACGGCAUAUAUUCAUGUGAAAAUGGGCAGAUCACUUUCCAGCAAGUCUGAGGUUAUAUAUGGAUAUGUGAGCAGGCUGCUGGCCCUGUCACUUGCUCAGACAUAAAUCAGAAAUAUCUCUAUGGAAGUCACUAAAGUUACAGUACUGUGGAGAAAAAUUGGCGAGUGAUGAUUAUCAAAUCCUAUAAAACUGCACUACGUGUAGAAAUAAUUCCUUCCGAGGCCGGCCAGAGAUGGAGGGAGAUACUGAUGCCAAUGUUCUGCAGACUGAACAAGGGGAAGCUGAAAUACAAAUUACAGAACAAUCACUUGUCCUAUUGCUAUCAUAUGGGAAGGGAAUUUCUGCUUAACCUGCAGAAGCCUUCUACAAAAUGUAGUUAAAGUCCGAUACAAUCACAAAUCAUCUUUGUUCCACAGUGCAGAAAUAUAGAAACAAUAAUGAAAUCCUUCUAGAAGCACAGUAUCGGGUAUAGUUCUGAUUCUUCCAUGCACAGAAAUGUUGCAUGUCUCAUCUUUGCGGUCUGCAGCUGUCUGUAGGCACAAACCACAGCAGUGCAUGCAGUCAGGCUGUUCCAUCCUGAUGCCUUCAGGGGAAUGUACCAAAGCACGGCACAGCUGUGGGUGAACCCAGGGCACAACAGUUCCCCAACCACGACAACAGGGCCCAUGCACGGGAGCCAGCUCCCUGCUCUCGGCUUAGGCCAGUGCCAUGUCCUGGUCAUUUUGGGAAGGCUGGAUGUGGCUCUUGGCAGCCUGGUCUGGUGGCUGGUGACCCUGCACAUAGCAGGGGGUUGGAACUGGACGAGCACUGUGGGCCUUUGCAACCCAGGCCAUUCUGUGAUUCUAUGAUCUAACUCAACUUGAUCAUACAUCUUGAAAAAAGAAAAGAUAAGACUCACCACGAUACCGUGCCUUUAGUUAAGCAAGAGGAGUGACGCACUCAGCUGCCUUUGGCUUUGCUUCACCAGAUUUGCAAGUUGCUACCAAUGCACUUAGAAAAAGCUGUUUUCCUGACUUCCCAUCGCUCACUGCUCACAAGGUGACAUUUUGCAUUUUCAUUCUUUAUCUUGAAAGCAAGAGGUAAAGCGUGAAUUAUUACCCACCUGCUUGCCUGAUGGGCCCACUGUCCACGCUGCCACCAAAGCCCGGCUUGUCGCAGUAUGGGGGGGCCCAGUCAGCCUCACAGUGACAGUUCUUUUUGUUGUUGCAAACCUUCAAAAGAAAAGACAGACGGCCUAACAUGAAAAGGAUUCUGCUGUAUAACUGGGAACAGCACUGGCCAACAGUGCCUCUUAAUCAGCUGCUGACACAUCUGAGCGAAAUAAAGCUCAUGACACAAAAGGGAUGUACUGGUAUUUUGCUCCUUGUCACAACUAGGAUGGCACAAAGCGACUCCAAAUACAAGGGGGAGGAAAAAACCCAGCGUUAUUAUUUAUGUAGCAGGUAAUAGUUUGAGUCGCAUCAGCUGACAACUUCAAUAACCACAAUAAGGAUAAUCAGACACCUCUUAAAUCUUAUUCUCUCUUUGCCUCCAGCAGCAACAUUAUCUGUUUUCUAACUUCUGUUCCUUCUGCCUUCACAGGAAGAGGAGCUGCUCCGUGUUCUUAACACCAUAAAGCUUUGUCAGCUCAACCUGAUCCCUUCUAUCCAUCAAGGUCUCAUGUCAGACCACACACUGAUUUCUCUGCUGCUCAGACCCCAGCUCUGAGAUGCAACAGUUGCUGGAAGAAGAUCUACGGGAGUUCCCCUCCACAGUUCCACAAGGUCCUCCCUGGCUACUUGUGAGUCCCUGUAGGCUCUCCAUCAUGCAGGCAUAAAGAUGCCUCCCCCUAAGCUGAUGGUUACCCCAGCAUAAUGAGGCAUUCCCCCUCCUAAUGGACUGAAGAACAAGAGAGUACAAGCGCAGAAAAAGACAGAAUCACUGCCCCAGAAAAUUACAGUUUUCAGAGAUAAGACAGCCACAGCAUUCAGGAGGAAGACAGUGGCUGCUGAUUGAUGUAUGGUAGCACAGUAGGUCAGCUACAGCCCUGGCACAGGUCCUGCUGAGGAGCAGUGUUUGCCAUCGCUGUCAGUGUCAUUCCUAUCUCUAGCUUGAACACAACACGAGUGGCACUGACUCGUGCUGGAGCAGAUUCCUGCUCCAACCUAAAAAUCCCACUACAGGACUACAGAAAAACCUCGGGAAAGCCAUCAGAAGUGGGACCUCCUUUGCUCUCCUAAACUUCUAGAUGUCCAUCUACACCUACUGGUGCCUGAACAUUUCACACCUUGGGUCUGCUUCCUCCACAUUCCUCUACUAUCAAACAAAAGACUCCCUUUGGGCCACAUUUUCCUGCUUCUCAAGAACCACUGGAGCAGCAUCUCCAUCAAUACUUCUGGCAAUUCUCUGUGUAUUGCACAGCUGUGGGCUCACUAUGUCUUGGAAAUGAAAGUAAUGAUUGGUAUGGAUAUUGGUAUCCUAUCCAAUCUCAGAUGAUUUUCUUAUUCAAGAACAGUAGGGCAUUUAUAAAGUAACUUCUCUCCAAAAUGUUGGUGUAUACAUAUAUAUAUAUACACACACACAUUAUACAAAUGCAUACAUUAUAUAUCUAUUUAUAGGGCUCAUUCAUUCCAGUUCAUAGCACAAUCUGAUUAUUCAGCAUUAUAGCAAUGUUUAUACAGAGCCUUUUACCUAAGGCCCUGAAGUGUUUUACAAUUAUUCACUCAAUUAAAAUGCACAACAGCCCCAAAGAGCUCUAUUAAGUACCACUGGGCCCUUCUUCCCUGAGGUAAUAUGAUAAUUGGAGAUUAUAUUAAUUUUAAAAGGGCAUUCUGAUUUUCCCGCACACUCCUCUUGAAAUCACUGUUGACUCACUAAUGUCCAAAGGUGCAGAAAAAUGGGACCUGGAUUUGUCCAGAAUGAUAGAAAAAUCAUGCCUGAGAGGCUCUGUUUGGAACAGCUCAGGCAUCAGCAAUGUGUUUGUAAGCAUGAAGGUGCUCAAAGACAAGAGCUCCAGCCCCAAGUCAGAAAUUUCACUUGUCUAGCACCUGAAUUUUCAACAUUCUUCAUGAUAACUCCAUGUCUUAACUGAACACUUCUGUGUCACCCAUCAGCCCCAGGACUCCUUGAGAUACACAGCUGCAAUGAUCCUGUUUCUUCUCUUAAGCAAGGGCCCACAUCAACAACAAUGCUCAGUCGAGCAGGGGGAGGCUUUCACCUUCCUAUUGAAUACAAACCUCUGGGCUCUACAGAGUGAAUUCAGAACCAAUGUGUCAGUUUCCUAUUGCAAACCCCAGUUUUACCUAUGAAACUAAACCCAACUUUUUAAACUUAAAAUAUAGAGAUAGUUUUGCUUUUGUUAAUUCACGUACAACUGAUUUUUUGUACCGACACACUGUCAGCAGCAGAGAAAGUGAAACAAAAGUUACACUCUAAGAAGGCAGAAACUAAAGAGAAAGCAGUGGUUUCAGACCCACUGCGGUGUUGAUCUCAAGGAGCCAUGACAAUUUGCCAGCCUCCUCCAUCUCCUGAUCUAAUUGACAUAAUUGUUUCCCACACAAAGGCUUCCUCUUUGGUUUUAACCUUCUAGACACAAUUAUUGCUCUCCAUCUAUUGAAAACAACUUUUCAGGUCUCCUAAGAGAUAUGAGCCUAGUAGAACAAAACGGAAUUUGCUAUUAGAUGACAUUUUAGAUGCUUCAGCUGUUCUAUGCCGUGUCUUACGUUAAUGAAUUAGUAAUCAUAGAGAACCUCACUGAACAGGGUAUUGAGCAAGAGAUAAGUCCUGUUUCCUUUGAUAUUGAAAUAGGUUUUCAAAUGCUGUAGAUCUCUCAGUGUAUAAAGUUCUGUCAUUUCCCACUAUUUCAUACCCCUCACGUUUCAGCUGCAAUUGUUUAAAAUCAGGCAACUGCCACAGAAUGGAGGUCGUGUUAAUCUAUUAUUUAAAUAGUGACUUCGUCUGUAAGUACUUUUGAGGGAGAAAGCCACAUAGUUUUAAAGCAGAUCUCACAAGCACAUUGAAGCCAAACAAGAUCCUAACAGUAGCUGCAGAUUCCCUCCCUGAAAAAAGGAAUUCUGCAAAAAGCAAUUUUAUUUUAAUCUACAUAAAGUAUUGAAGGAGGAAGUUUGCUUCAAAAGAAAUUAGAUGUCUGGCAACUCAUGCUUCUUUUUUUUCCUAGCCUAUUUUUCACUAUAUAGCUCCUCUUUUAUAGUUUUAAUCCCUAAAGCAUCAAUAAAGUAGAGCAAAGAAUUGGGCCAUGUAGCUAUACAUGACAUCAAAGCUCUUGCUGUCUGAGUUCAUGGUCAGUGAUUUAAAAGCAAGCCUGGAUCUCUCCCACAGCUGCUGUCAUGUUCACUCUACGGUAGUUUUUACACUUCCAAUAAAUAACCAUGAACGUCACACCAGUGAUUACAUUAAUUGAUAUGUAGUGGCAAUUGCCUGUUGUGCUGCAAUGAAAUUGCCUUGGUUAUUGAAAUAAAGUCUUUCCAAAUAAAUGUUUAAGCUUGACUCACAAAU